rnacentral:snoRNA from 1 species
UAUUAGUAAUGUUGGGAAUCUCUAAGAUGAUACUUGAAUCUCUCCCAUGCAUGAUAGAGAUUUUCAUUUGGCUUCUAGAUGAAACUUAAAAUCUCACUCCUCAAACU